GACGAACGCUGGCGGCGUGCUUAACACAUGCAAGUCGAACGGAAAGGCCCUGCUUUUGUGGGGUGCUCGAGUGGCGAACGGGUGAGUAACACGUGAGUAACCUGCCCUUGACUUUGGGAUAACUUCAGGAAACUGGGGCUAAUACCGGAUAGUAGCGCCUGCUGCAUGGUGGGGGUUGGAAAGUUUCGGCGGUUGGGGAUGGACUCGCGGCUUAUCAGCUUGUUGGUGGGGUAGUGGCUUACCAAGGCUUCGACGGGUGGCCGGCCUGAGAGGGUGACCGGCCACAUUGGGACUGAGGUACCGCCCGGACUCCUACGGGAGGCAGCAGUGGGGAAUAUUGCACAAUGGGCGGAAGCCUGAGGCAGCAACGCCGCGUGCGGGAUGACGGCCUUCGGGUUGUAAACCGCUUUCGCCUGUGACGAAGCGUGAGUGACGGUAAUGGGUAAAGAAGCACCGGCUAACUACGUG
rnacentral:rRNA from 1 species